rnacentral:lncRNA from 1 species
UUUUUCUUUUUUCUUUUUUUCUUUUUACUUAUUUAUUUAUUUUUUUGCCAGACUUCUUCCUAAGGAGGCUUGCCCAACCAAGUCCAUCUGGACCCAGCUUCCAGCCUGGACUAGAGUUACUGCUUCCAGUCCUAUUUGUCCAUUGUUUGCACAGCACAUGCUCCUUCAAUCAUGGGCCCACAUCAUUGUACAGGUCUCCCCUGCUUUUUUGAAGGCUCGCAUUACACCACUUCCCUUUUACAAAAGGCCUACAUUAGUACCUCUUUAUUAGCCAAAAGAAAGAGGAUUUUCAGUUUUACGAAAAUACAGCAUUUCACGUUUUGUAGCGAGCAGUUACAGAGGCAGUACCACCCCAAGCAGUAAGUAUGGUGCCAGCCAAAGAGUGGCACCUUCAAGCCCCUUCUCUGGAAACUGCAUGCAGCAUCACAAAACCAGGCCACCGGAGCUCUGAACUGUGUCUGUGAACAUCUGUGCUUUAACUCAAUGUAUUUUGUGCAUCUGUUACCAAAAUGUGUCCUAAGGUAACAGAUUUUUUGAGGUCUGGGAAUGGACAAAAAUGUUUCCAUAUAAAUUAAUGGUAAUUGCUUCUUUGCUUUACACUAUUUGGGUUAAUGAAAGAUUUCAUAGGGAUGUUCUACUUUCAGAUGGCAAGAAAUCUGUAUUACAAUUUGCUGUUCACAAUACUCUUCCAGGGAUAUUCAUGUGAUAAAAACGAAACCAGAGUCUAAGCUUCUAAGUCUGAAAGAUGGACAAUGAUCAGCUGGGACGCUGCUGGGGCAUGAACCUCCUGCGGAUGCCCUGCCUGGAGAAUGAAACUAAAUGAAACCCAAGUGCUUGAUCCAGGCAUUACUGCAGUGAGCCCUACCUCUAAACUUCUAGAUAAUUUCAACCAGCAAUUCUCUUCCUGCUUAAGCCAGAUAUCUGAAACACAACAACUAAAGAUUCCCAACCCUUACAAACGUUUAUGAGUCUUGAGCUAUCUACUAGAUGCUGGCAAAAACCACGAAGUACAAGACAGUGCCUGCUCCAAAUGAACUCUGGGCACAGAGAGUGGAGGGCCCAUAUCUCAACCAAAAUAAAACAUCAUAAAUGCUUUGGCAAUGCCUCAUGCACCAACAAAGGGGAAGAUAUGGUGAAUACUAACAGGAGGUGGCUGAACGUUACCCAAAAGGAUAUAAUGAGACAGCAAAGCCUGAUUUAGGCUUCGAAGAAUAAAGUAGGGCUUAAAAGAAGAGAAAAAUGUGCAAGGACAUUCCAGCAAGAAAAAAGUGAAUUAAAGGCAAGAAGUUUAUCUUAAGAUUUUUUUCCCCCCCGAAUGCCUAGCCCAGUCCCUUUCAUAUACGAGACACCAGAAAAAGUUUAAAGAGUAAGCAAGGGCAUAAAGAGAAAAAUGAUUAAAUGAUUUCUCUGGAGUUAAGGCCUUGCCUUGGCCAAUGACAUAAUGACCUUUUAUAACACAGCUCCUAAUAGGAAUUAUGUUCUUUUUACAAUAACCUACUUUAUGAUAUGGCUUCCAGGAAAAGUAAUAAUCAAAAAGAGUUACUGCUGUGACUGUUAAGUGGGGAGAGGGUGGCCUUAAUUAAUUGCUGGACUUGCUUUUUAUUUUUCUUUCUCACAUACGAACAAGUUCUCUAAAUGGCAUUAAUAAAUAAACACAUUUAUGGGUCACAUCGAUCAAGGGUUUCUUCCAUUUUUCAGUAAAAUUAUAAAUAUCUAAAUAUGAACACUAAUUGCAAAUUCUGAUCAGAGAAAGAACUGAAGAAAAACAAGGUUCUGAAAGCUAUGGUGGUCAAAUAGCAUGCAAGACUCAGCACAGAAUGAGAGCUUAUAUUUUAUUAAUUCAUUGUUGAAACAAUGUAGGAAAGAUGGGACUCUGCACAGGGAGUGUUUUGGGAUGAUGGGGACCUGGGCUGAUAAUCUCUGCAUCUGUCUGGAUGUGGGAAAACUGUUUUAAUUCUAAAUAUUCACGUGUGUGUGUGUGUGUGUGUGUGUGUGUAUAUAUAUAUAUAUGUAUAUAUAUGUUUUUUCCUUUCAUCGCUGUUGUGAGUUAUACAAGACAAUGCGUAUGCAGGACUGGAAGGUCAAGGAAGGACAAUAAUUGAAGAAACUAGUAAUAAGUAGAUCGCAGUAAAUAAGAGUAGAUGCUUAGGAAAGGAAGUCAUUUUGCAAAAACAAAACAGACUGAAAUCUUUAUUUUGUCUCCUUGAAAUGAGGUGAUUAGAUAAUUGGAUGUUUUAGCAAUUAGGGUGUUUCCCUUGGUAACAGCAACAGUAAUGUUUAAAUACAGUACUCCACAUUAAAAGAGAAUAUUUUGAUAAACUUCAUGAAGCUGAAGGCACCAAAGCUGACAUUGUUUAUCAUUCAACAAUUUCAUUUUUUGACGUUAUUUCCCUAAUAACCUCUUCCACGCUAAGAAAAUCAUUUGAAGGACAGCAAGAAAGGUGGUUUCCAUCCACCUGUACAAACUGUGGACCAUGAAUGUGGUCAGAUAAAG